GAUUAGGCAUGCAAGUCGAACGGACCUGGUUUUCGGAUCAGGUCAGUGGCGCAAGGGUGAGUAAGGCGACGGCAACCAAGGACCUGGUUGGGCAUAGCCGCGGGAACCUGCGGGUAAUUCCAAGCGAUGUUCCGAGUGGGCAUCCGCUUGGAAAAGAGGAGCUUCGGCGCCGUGGGACGGACCGUCGUGGUAUUAGGUUGUUGGCGGGGUAACGGCCAACCAAGCCUCUGAUGCCUACCGGGCGUGUGAGUGUGGCCAGGCACACUGGGACUGAGACACUGCCAAGACUCCUACGGGAGGCUGCAGUCGAGAAUCUUCGGCAAUGGGCGCAAGCCUGACCGAGUGACGCCGCGUGGAGGAUGAAGGCCUUCGGGUUGUAACCUCCUGUCGAGGGGGAGGAAGGCGUAAGCUUGACCGAUCCAUGGAGGAAGCACGGGCUAAGUUCGUGCCAGCAGCCGCGGUAAGACGAACCGUGCGAACGUUAUUCGGAAUCACUGGGCUUAACGCGCGUGUAGGCGGAUGGGGACGUCGGUUGCUGAACGCCACCGGCUCAACCGGGGAACGGGCACCGAACCGCCACGUCUGGAGGGACGUAGGGGGACCUGGAACUUCCGGUGGAGUGGUGAACUGCGUUGAGAUCGGAAGGAACGCCAGUGGCGAACGCGAGGUCCUGGACGUUUUCUGACGCUGAGACGCGAACGCUAGGGUAGCGAACGGGAUUAGACA
rnacentral:rRNA from 1 species